rnacentral:lncRNA from 1 species
CAACAAACAUGUGCCAAAACAACAAAAGCAACAAAAUAUAAAAAAGCGAAAAAAAAAAAGAAAAAAAACCCAAACAGUCUAUACAAUAUAACAAUUAUAGUAAAUCAAAGAUUACGCAACAUGUACCCCUGGAAAACUGGUGUAUAUUACAAGAUAAAACGGUUUAUAGUCAUUGUCUGAAAAAAACAGAUUAUUCUCACAC